ensembl:snRNA U2 U2 spliceosomal RNA
AUCGCUUCUCGGCCUUUUGGCUAAGAUCAAGUGUAAAAAGCCGAUUCUGUUGAUAGUUUUAAAUCUUGAGGGUGGUCAUUUUCCUGGCAUUUUUAUAUGCCUCAUAAUUUUUAAAAUGAUGCUGAACAUC